rnacentral:rRNA from 1 species
CCUGGCGGCCAUAGCGGGCGGGAACCACCCGAUACCAUUCCGAACUCGGAAGUGAAACCGCCCAGCGCCGAUGGUAGUGUGGGGCUUCCCCAUGUGAGAGUAGGUCACUGCCAGGC